rnacentral:lncRNA from 1 species
AGGCGAUGGCAGCAGAGGAGGCUCAGGCACGCGAACGCCGAGGCCAGCGAAGGUCCCAUUCACGUCAAAAAGAAUAUGAGCAAAGACCAUCAUCUGUAGGGAAGUACUACAAGGAUAAGAAAACUGUAAGACAAAAUUACAUUCUUGAGCAGUUGAGAAAAUAAGAUGAAUACGCUUGCAUGAUUCAGAGGGCAGUGUGACAUGUACGGAAGCAAGGGUAGGCUGGCGUGGCGGGGUCUCUGGGUGGCACGUGAGCUGACUUUAAGUUGACGGAGGUGGGUGGGCUCCAUCAAGAGGAGGGUCCCGAAGUGGGGCCUGAAGAAUGAUGGUGCUGGAAUCCGUGGGCACAAGGAGCACCUUUCAGGUGAGGAAAACUGCACAGGUGAAAGCACGGCGGAGGGAGCCAGCGUGGCAAAGGAGGGAGAUGGAUCAAUGAAAACCCAGUCUCAGAGGUGGGGAGGGCCAGUGCUUAGCCACAGGAACUAACACACUCUUGGUAGAAGGAUUUGUCUAAAGGUCUAGCCUGUCAGAGGAAGCAUGUCGUGUGGCAGCGGAGAGCCUGGCCUGUCACAGAAGAAUGUCUGAUUCAAAUCCCUCCUUUGCUCUGGGGCACUCUGUUUCCUUACCUGGAAGCUG